rnacentral:tRNA from 1 species
GCACCGGUAGCUCAACUGGCAGAGCGGAGGCUUCCAAAUUCUCUGGCUGGGGGUUCGAAUCCCUCCCGGUGUGCCA